UACGGAGGGUGCAAGCGUUAUCCGGAUUCACUGGGUUUAAAGGGUGCGUAGGUGGGUAAGUAAGUCAGUGGUGAAAUCUCCGGGCUUAACCCGGAAACUGCCAUUGAUACUUUUUGUCUUGAAUACUGUGGAGGUCAGCGGAAUAUGUCAUGUAGCGGUGAAAUGCUUAGAUAUGACAUAGAACACCAAUUGCGAAGGCAGCUGGCUACACAAAUAUUGACACUGAGGCACGAAAGCGUGGGGAUCAAACAGG
rnacentral:rRNA from 1 species